GAUGAACGCUAGCGGCAGGCUUAAUACAUGCAAGUCGUGGGGCAGCAUGAGUAGCAAUACUUGAUGGCGACCGGCAAACGGGUGAGGAACACGUACACAACCUUCCUUCAAGCGGGGAAUAGCCCAGAGAAAUUUGGAUUAAUACCCCAUAAUAUAUUUGAUAAGGCAUCUUAUUAAUAUUAAAGCUUCGGCACUUGAUGAUGGGUGUGCGGCUGAUUAGAUAGUUGGCGGGGUAACGGCCCACCAAGUCUACGAUCAGUAGCUGAUGUGAGAGCAUGAUCAGCCACACGGGCACUGAGACACGGGCCCGACUCCUACGGGAGGCAGCAGUAAGGAAUAUUGGACAAUGGACGAAAGUCUGAUCCAGCCAUGCCGCGUGAAGGAUUAAGGUCCUCUGGAUUGUAAACUUCUUUUAUAUGGGACGAAAAAAGGGCAUUACUUGUUCACUUGACGGUACCAUAUGAAUAAGCACCGGCUAACUCCGUGCCAGCAG
rnacentral:rRNA from 1 species